rnacentral:rRNA from 1 species
AAGGGCACUUUUGUGCCGUUGUGAUGUCUGAAGUGUAGGGUGCCUGAAGAAAACGAAUGCUUAAGUUCUUCUGGAAAGGAAGCGCCCAUGGAGGGUGAUAGCCCCGUCUAGCAUUUGACCUCAUAUUAGGAAUCUUAACAUGGGAGUCGAGUUGUUUGGGGAAAUGCAGCUCAAAUGGGUGGUAUGCUCCAUCUAAAGCUAAAUAUCUGCGAGAGACCGAUAGUAAACAAGUACUGUGAGGGAAAGAUGAAAAGAACUUUGAAAAGAGAGUGAAAAAGUACGUGAAAUUGUUGAAAUGGAAGGGUAGGCCGCUAACCAUGUAGAGCCGUGUUUGGGGGGAAGAUGACUGCUGUAGAAUGUUACUCCUCGGAGUAUUAUACAUGCAUUUCAUGAUUCCC